UACGGAGGGUGCGAGCGUUGUCCGGAAUCACUGGGCGUAAAGGGCGCGUAGGCGGCCCGGUAAGUAGGGGGUGAAAUCCUGCGGCUUAACCGCAGGGCUGCCUUCUAAACUGUCGGGCUGGAGCACGGUAGAGGCAGAUGGAAUUCCCGGUGUAGCGGUGGAAUGCGUAGAGAUCGGGAAGAACAUCAGUGGCGAAGGCGAUCUGCUGGGCCGUUGCUGACGCUGAGGCGCGACAGCGUGGGGAGCAAACAGG
rnacentral:rRNA from 1 species